rnacentral:rRNA from 1 species
GACGAACGCUGGCGGCGCGCCUAACACAUGCAAGUCGAACGAGCGAGAGAGAGCUUGCUUUCUCAAGCGAGUGGCGAACGGGUGAGUAACGCGUGAGGAACCUGCCUCAAAGAGGGGGACAACGAUUGGAAACGAUCGCUAAUACCGCAUAAACAUCUUGGGACCGCAUGGUUCUAGGGAUCAAAAGAUUUAUCGCUGAGGGAUGGGCUCGCGGCCGAUUAGCUAGAUGGUGAGGUAACGGCCCACCAUGGCGACGAUCGGUAGCCGGACUGAGAGGCUGAACGGCCACAUUGGGACUGAGACACGGCCCAG